AAAUCAUGCAUUGGGCAUUUUCUCAAUAGCUCCUUGAACAACUCCCAUUCUUCAUAUACUGUUUCAUCCUCUGAUUGUCUAAAUGAUGUAAUAUCGUUCCUCAACUU
rfam:Gossypium arboreum cultivar AKA8401 contig_16916_1, whole genome shotgun sequence.